rnacentral:rRNA from 1 species
AUUGAACGCUGGCGGCAGGCCUAACACAUGCAAGUCGAACGAGUGGCGGACGGGUGAGUAAUGUCUGGGAAACUGCCCGAUGGAGGGGGAUAACUACUGGAAACGGUAGCUAAUACCGCAUACCUUCCGAUGUGCCCAGAUGGGAUUAGCUAGUGGGUGGGGUAACGGCUCACCUAGGCGACGAUCCCUAGCUGGUCUGAGAGGCUGACCAGCCACACUGGAACUGAGACACGGUCCAGACUCCUACGGGAGGCAGCAGUGGGGAAUAUUGCACAAUGGGCGCAAGCCUGAUGCAGCCAUGCCGCGUGUAUGAAGAAGGCUUUCGGGUUGUAAAGGACUUUCAGCGAGGAAGCGUUACUCGCAGAGAAAGCACCGGCUAACUCCGGGCCAGCAGCCGCGGUAAUAC